CUCCGCCAAAGUUCCCACCGCAUCCUCUGUUUUCUUCUCCAUCCCCCACAUAUUCUCUUUGGCCUUCUCCUUCGCGCUCUCCGCUGUCUCGGCUGCCCUCUGAGUCCCCUCCCCCACUUUUUCUGUCACAGUGUCCGCCAUCUCAUUGGUCUUCUCCUUUGUCUCGUAACCGUACUCUUUAGCUUUCUCCUUGGUGCUCUCCACCGUCUCCGCUGCUCUAUUCGUUCCCUCUUUCGCCUUCUCCUCCAUAGUCCCAGCUGCGCUCUUCGUAUUCUCCUCCAUAGUCUCAGCUGCGCUCUUCGUCUUAUCCUUUGCUUCCUGCGCGUAAUCCUUGGUCGUCUCUUUCAUUUCCUCGGCUUUUCGCUUCGUGUUUUCUAGGCCUUCUCCCAUGGUUUCUUUCGCUUUGUCAUAUCCCUUGUUCUCCCCGGCCGCAUUUCGUCCCUGAAAUCAAUUGACACAAAUAUGUUAAACUACAAUUUUUGACAAUACGAGCAUACUGCCCUAACUAACUAGCCAAACCCGUAUCUGUAAAUGUUACCUCGGAUUUGGAGGCGGAGAUGAAGCAGACGCGGGAGACUUUCUGAGAUGAAUAUCUGAGAGAGGGUGGCUGAGAGAAACGAGGAAAAGAUCUGGAGAGGUUGAACAUAGCAUUAUCUGCUACGGAAAACACUGCCAUGUUUGCCUGCUCUGUUUUCUCCUUUCUUUCGGUUGGUUUGUGUUAUCCUAUCACCGUUUCUAGGGUUUGCAUGUUAUAACGAGAUUAGGAAGAGUAAGGUGGCAGCUUUGGCGCUUGACACGUGUGACUGUCAGUUGCUGGGGAGCUCCUGUAGCCUACAAAGAUCAUCACUUUUGUCUCAAAAGUCGACUCAAUUUUGUCUCAAUAGCCGACUCUCAAUCCCCAAUCUUAAUAUGGGCUCUAGGGCUAAAAAGCCCAUAUCGUUUUGAUUGAUUUGUGGCCCAGAACAAGUAUGGAAAAUAAGUGGGCCAUGUUCAAGAGGGUUUUAAAAUUCCAUCAAUUUACUCUUUGGAGCCCAAACUAUUCGCUUUUUUACUGCCCCGACGAUUUCAGUACGACUGCCACCGAGUAUAGUUUCGGAAAUCCACCAUCUUCACAGCUCAGGUACUUACAUAUAUGUCAAUUAACAAGUUCAUAUUCAAAUCCCUAGAACUGUAUUGCAUUGGGAAUUGAGGGGUCCCGCUAAAGAUUUGUUCUUUACGCUUUGGGAUUUGAUGGGUUUUUUUUUUAUUUUAUAUUUUUCAUAGAAAAUUAUAGCAUCAUUUGGUUGAUUUGGUUUUGGAAGCUGAUCAUUGUUUGUUGUUAAUUGGUGUUUCUCUUCCAUGUUUAGCUUCGUAUGUGCAAAUCUAUGAGGCCGUGAAGCUUCAAUUUACUAGAUUUCUUAAGAUAAGUCAUUUGACAGAUCUGUUAUUUGCACUCCAAAAAAGUCAUUCCGUACUUUUCCCCAUAAAAGUUAUUUUUCAAGAAUGAAUUAGGAAUUGAAGAAGCAUGCCUUAUAUCUGACCAAUGCCAUUUCCUGAUUGGUUGAUUCCAUUUUUUUUAUUGCUUGCCGCAGAUAUCUCAAAUUUCUGUGAUUUUUGGUGAACCAUGGUUACAUUAUUCAGUUAAGUAGAGCAUUGUCAUGUAAUUUGACAAACAAGUUAUCUUGGUGAACCAUGGUUACAUUAUUCAGUUAAGUAGAGCAUUGUCAUGUAAUUUGACAAACAAGUUAUCUUACAGGGCAACCAAGUUUAGCAUUACACUCACCUAGAUUAAAAUUUUGUCCGAAUCUUGAUUAAAAUAAUCCUUAAGGAGAAGACCAAGUUUAGCAUUACACUCAUAGCUUUUGUCACUCUUGGAUGUCGGCCAGCACUUGUCAUCCAGGUGUCAUUUGAAUAUUUGGGUUAGGACGUGUCAUAAAUCUUCUUGUUGAAGUCUCUUCACUUAUGCAUCUAAAUCUUGUUGUUCCUCCUAUCUAUUUAAAAGCUUAUAACUCUUGAACAUGCAUCCGUCAUCUAAGAGAACCUUUUUAACUCUUAAUAAAUGGAACUAUCAAUGUGAUUCCGCCGUCUACGAGAACCUCUUUUAACUUUGGGAAGUAUCAAUGUGGUUUCAUCCGGGGUAGAACUUUUUGAAUCACAGCUGUCGUGAGUCACAUUGAAAAUGACAAUUCAAGUCUUGUGACGGUUCACAUGAGAUUUCGGACAUCAUCAAAUUGAUAACGUGAGGAUGGGAGAAGGAGUGAGGAGUGUGGUUAACCUACAAACCCACUCGUAGCUGAUUUUGUAGAUAGUAGUGCACAAUUGUGAGUAUUAUUUAGUUUUCGCCCAUAUCUUAAAUUAUUUCAUAAAUAAUUUUAAUAUUUUUGGUUCUUGUCCCCUCGAAAUUCUUAUUAACCUACGUUAGCAAAAGAGGCACAAGCCGCACAACGAUCGGGGAAGAAUAAGCUGCCAUGGCAUGGGUGAUCUCAAGCAGUUGAUUUCAAGCCACGUAAUGUAUAAGAGCUUCAAAAUGCAAGGUCGGCUAAGAAUCGAAUCAGGCGUAAUUAGCAUGAUAUAUGUCACCUCCUUUUGGUGACCCCUACACUCACACUAAUCAUGUACCGUCACACUAAUCAUAUGUCAAAGUAGUAAGUACAUCGCAAGAGUGAAACUCGCGUAAUUGCUAAAUUGUAACACAAUAUGAAGCUUAUGUGGACUUCCUUUACAAACACCGUUAACACUUCAAAUACCAUCAUUAAUUUUGAUUAAUUGGUUCUGAUUAUCGAUGUGUGAUUACUGCAAUUUUACUUGACCAAGUAAUUAAUCUAAAUAAUCUAAAGGCAUGCAUCAACCUGAACGGAGAUGAAGUAUGUCGAUGCAUCUCAAAACACAGGUUAUUUCAACGGUUUAGAUUUAUUAUUAGAAUGCACAUUUUGCAAAAAGCAAAUAAACUAAUUCAUCGAUCAAAAAAGCUGCAAAUUAAAAGAAAAAUUGUAAGUCUCAAUAUUACUUCUCAAGGCCCUUGCCGGCACGCCGCCUUUAGUUCCACCACAUCCGCUUCCAUCACCUUCCCUUCCGCCACUCCAUCGCCAUCCACGUCAACAUCCACAUCACUCUCACUAGUAGAGUCAUCAUCAAUGGCCACCGCUCCUACUUCCUCAUCAGGAGCUACCACCGUCUCCUUAAUCUUCUGCCCUGUCUCCUUCACCGCCCCCCACGCCCCUUUCACUGUGCCCUUUGCCGUCUCCGCCGCCUUACUAGUCCCCUCCUUCACCUUCUCCGCCACAGUUCCCACCGCAUCCUCUGUUUUCUCCUUCAUCCCCCACAUAUUCUCUUUGGCCUUCUCCUUCGCGCUCUCCGCUGUCUCGGCUGCCCUCUGAGUCCCCUCCUUCGCUUUUUCUGUCAGUGUGUCCGCCACCUCCUCGGUCUUCUCCUUUGUCUCGUAACCGUACUCUUUAGCUUUCUCCUUGGUGCUCUCAGCCGUCUCCGCUGCUCUGUUCGUUCCCUCUUUCGCCUUCUCCGCCAUAGUCUCGGCUGCUCUCUUUGCCUUCUCCUUUGCUUCCUCCGCGUAAUCCUUGGUCGUCUCUUUCGUCUCCUCUGCUUUUCGCUUCGUCUUUUCUAGCCCUUCUCCCAUGGUUUCUUUCGCUCUGCUGUUCACGUUCGCCGACCCGUACUCUCGUUCCUUAUUCAUCCAGUUCUUGUUGUUGUUGUCAUAUCCCUUGUUCUCUCCGGCCGCAUUUCGUCCCUGAAAUCAAUUGACACAAAUAUGUUUACUACAUUUUUUGACCAUACGAGCAUACUGCCCUAACUAACUAGCCUAACCCGUAUCUGUAAAUGUUACCAUGGAGAAUUUGGAGGCGGUGGUGAAGCAAACGCGGGAUACCUUCUGAGAUGAAUAUCUGAGGGAGAGUGACUGAGAGGAUCGAGGAAAAGAUCUGGAGAGGUUGAACAUAACAUUUUUUGCGACGUGAAAUACUGCCAUGUUUGCUUGCUCUGCUUUUCUCCUUUCUUUCUGUUGGUUUGUGUUAUCCU
rnacentral:lncRNA from 1 species